rnacentral:rRNA from 1 species
AUUGAACGCUGGCGGCAUGCCUUACACAUGCAAGUCGAACGGCAGCACGGGAGCAAUCCUGGUGGCGAGUGGCGAGCGGGUGAGUAAAGCAUCGGAACGUGCCCAGUCGUGGGGGAUAACGUAGCGAAAGCUACGCUAAUACCGCAUACGAUCUGUGGAUGAAAGCGGGGGACCGUAAGGCCUCGCGCGAUUGGAGCGGCCGAUGUCAGAUUAGGUAGUUGGUGAGGUAAAGGCUCACCAAGCCGACGACCUGUAGCUGGUCGGAGAGGACGACCAGCCACACUGGGACUGAGACACGGCCCAGACUCCUAGGGGAGGCAGCAGUGGGGAAUUUUGGACAAUGGGCGAAAGCCUGAUCCAGCAAUGCCGCGUGCAGGAUGAAGGCCUUCGGGUUGUAAACUGCUUUUGUACGGAGCGAAACGGCUUCCACUAAUACUGGGGGCUAAUGACGGUACCGUAAGAAUAAGCACCGGCUAACUACGUGCCAGCAGCCGCCGUAAGAC